CGUGGGAAUUAAGAGUGGCAGUC
rnacentral:miRNA from 1 species